UUUCCGUAGGUGAACCUGCGGAAGGAUCAUUAUUGUAUAACCGAGGUGCGAGGGCUGUCGCUGACCCGAAAGGUCGUGCACGCCCGAGGGCCCUCACACACAUCCAUCUCACCCUUAUGUGCACCACCGCGUGGGUCCCCCUUUGGCUUGUUCGGAGGGGGGCUUACGUUUUCACACAAACUUUGUAUGCAGUGUAGAAUGUAUUUUUUGUUUUUGCGAUCACGCAAUCAAUACAACUUUCAACAACGGAUCUCUUGGCUCUC
rnacentral:misc_RNA from 1 species